rnacentral:rRNA from 1 species
GCGGAAGGAUCAUUAUUGAAGUCUCUGAGAGCGUUGUUGCUGGUUCUCCGGAGCAUUGUGCACGCCUCUCAAACUUUACCAACCACCUGUGCACCUCUCGUAGCUUUUCAGAUGCCUCUAUCAGUUUUCGGACUGGCGGGGACUGCUGCUGUGAUUCUGUCGCGGCUUCAGUCCAAUAUCUGAAAGGUUGCGUCUUACACACACACUCUGUUAAUAUUUAAAGAAUGUAUCAUGGUCUUUGAUUGACCUUAAAACUUUAAUACAACUUUCAACAACGGAUCUCUUGGCUCUCGCAUCGAUGAAGAACGCAGCGAAAUGCGAUAAGUAAUGUGAAUUGCAGAUUUCAGUGAAUCAUCGAAUCUUUGAACGCACCUUGCGCUCCUUGGUAUUCCGAGGAGCAUGCCUGUUUGAGUGUCAUUAAAUUCUCAACUCUUCAACGGUUGUCAUGACCGUUGGCAGAGCUUGGAUGUGAGGGUUUUUGCCGGCUCCUUGGCUGAGUCUGGCUCCCUUGAAAUGCAUUAGCGCAGCUUUGCAAGUCCGCUUCAGGUGUGAUAAUCUAUCUACUCCUGAUUGGUGACGCGCAUAUGAAUGGCUUUGUGCUUCCAAUCGUCUCUUAUUGAGACAGCAUUUUUUGAACUUGACCUCAAAUCAGGUAGGACUACCCGCUGAACUUAAGCAUAUCAAUAAGCGGAGGAAAAGAAACUAACAAGGAUUCCCCUAGUAACUGCGAGUGAAGCGGGAAAAGCUCAAAUUUAAAAUCUGGCAGUUCUUGCAGCUGUCCGAGUUGUAAUUU